rnacentral:rRNA from 1 species
UACGGAGGGAGCUAGCGUUGUUCGGAAUUACUGGGCGUAAAGCGCACGUAGGCGGCUACUCAAGUCAGAGGUGAAAGCCCAGGGCUCAACCUUGGAACUGCCUUUGAAACUAGGUAGCUAGAAUUCUGGAGAGGUCAGUGGAAUUCCGAGUGUAGAGGUGAAAUUCGUAGAUAUUCGGAAGAACACCAGUGGCGAAGGCGACUGACUGGACAGAUAUUGACGCUGGGGUGCGAAAGCGUGGGGAGCAAACAGG